rnacentral:tRNA from 1 species
GUGUCGGUGGUUCAGUGGUAGAAUGCUCGUCUGACGCGUGGUCGGCCCGGGUUCGAUUCCCGGCCGAUGCA